GACCAGAGUUGGGCUGCUGGGGGUACUGGAGGACCAGAGUUGGGGCUGGGGUUACUGGAGGACCAGAGUUGGGCUGCUGGAAGACUGGAGUUGGGGUUACUGGAAGACUGGAGUUGGGCUGCUGGAAGACUGGAUUGGGGCUGCUGGGGGUACUGGAAGACUGGAGUUGGGGCUGCUGGGGGUACUGGAAGACUGGAGUUGGGCUGCUGGGGGUACUGGAAGACUGGAGUUGGGCUGCUGGGGAUACUGGAAGACUGGAGUUGGGCUGCUGGGGGUACUGGAAGACUGGAGUUGGGCUGCUGGAAGACUGGAUUGGGGCUGCUGGAAGACUGGAGUUGGGCUGUUGGGGGUACUGGAAGACUGGAGUUGGGGCUGCUGGAAGACUGGAGUUGGGCUGCUGGGGGUACUGGAAGACUGGAGUUGGGCUGCUGGGGGGUACUGAAAGGCUGGAGUUGGGCUGCUGGGGGUACUGGAAGACUGGAGUUGGGCUGCUGGAAGACUGGAGUUGGGUGCUGGGGGUACUGGAAGACUGGAGUUGGGCUGCUGGAAGACUGGAGUUGGGCUGCUGGUGGUACUGGAAGACUGGAGUUGGGCUGCCGGGGGUACUGGA
rnacentral:lncRNA from 1 species